rnacentral:rRNA from 1 species
UACGGGGGGGGCAAGCGUUGUUCGGAUUUACUGGGCGUAAAGCGCGCGUAGGCGGAUCUGCAAGUCGGGGGUGAAAUCCCGAGGCUCAACCUCGGAACUGCCUUCGAUACUGCGGGUCUCGAGUCCGGGAGAGGUGAGUGGAAUUCCUAGUGUAGAGGUGAAAUUCGUAGAUAUUAGGAAGAACACCAGUGGCGAAGGCGGCUCACUGGCCCGGUACUGACGCUGAGGCGCGAAAGCGUGGGGAGCAAACAGG